CAUAAUCCCCCUUUGAGUUCCAAGUUUUGAUCUCUUUCUUUCUUUUUAAUAGGAACAGUUAUAAGAAGUUAAAAACUUCUAUAUUCUUCCCUCCGUUGUUUUCUUUUAGUCGUGGAAGUCAGUGGUGCCGACUUGUGUUCCAUUUAAGGUUAUAAACAUGAGCAUGAGGUGGAAAGCUUGGUGGAUUAAAUGAAUGACUAGCUAUGGUGCUUGUUUGCCACACCAUUUUGUAUCCACCAUAAACGUGGUGUGUGUACAUGUACGUCAAUCCAGGCCGUCCACAUUACAUGCUCUGUUGUGGACGAAACAUAGCCUGAAAAUCACAUCAUUGGACUGAUCCUAACCAUCUAAUUGGUGCCCAUUAAAUGGGUGGUUGAAAAUUCAUCAUUGCUCGAAAUUCUAUGGAUGAAAUAAUAUCUUUUGGAUUGAUAGAGAAAUGAGAUGGUUAAGGACUAAGAUCAUGAGGUUGGUUUGGGGCUGUACUAUUAGGGCGCUUUAUUUGGAUGAUAGAGAAUGAUAAACAUGUAUAAUGGGGGGUCACUACUAGCUGACAUGGCGUUUGCAAUCACACUGUGGUCUAACUCACCCCAUGAAAAUACGAGUGCAUUCACUGGUUAGAAAUACGAAAUUACAAAUUUUGGGAGGAGAAAAAAUUUCAUGGAAAAUAAUAAUAAAUAAUAUAUUUUUUUAUGACGACGGGGUGUCCCCGCCCCUUUUUAAGGUGAGAUUAAUCCCUGCAGAUGCAUGCAAUCACCCACAAACCACAUGCAUUAGGUAAAGCACAAGGAGGGGAAUCAAACUCACGUCUGUGGGGAGCAAACCCACGACGCUAGCCAUUUGCCCAAACCCUGGGCGGGUAUGGGAAAUAAUAAUUGCAUCGAAAUGGAUGAAAAAUUUCUUUUGAAUCUGAAAUAUACUUUUAAAACUUUAAUAGGCAGCACGAGGACAAUGAAUCCUAAGUGCGUGCAGGGAACCAAUUUUCAUUUUAGAGCUGUUGGCUGAAACUUUAAUAGGCGGCAUGAGGACAAUGAAUACCAAGUGCGUGCAGGGAACCAAUUUUCAUUCUAGAGCUGUUGGCCGAAAUGCCUCAACUCCACAAUCCACAAUAGGUGAAUUCAUGGUUUAGCUUUUCUAGAGCACUUUUUAAACAUGUGCAAUUUUUAGUUUUGGUACCCUUGUCACUGCAGCUUCGCAUUGGCAGCUACAGUUGUAGAGGUGUGCUAGAUCCACAUGCAUCAUCUCCACAUGUAGGAAUUGUGCCAACGUGACUCGUGUGGGACACCUGAGUGGGAAAGCAGAUGGUCAAAGGUAGCUCUCUCUGUGGGGAUGAACACCAGAGUGGGAAAACAGAUGGUCAAAGGUAGCUCUCUCUGUGGGGAUGAUUGGUGCAAAAAUCAGGCCAGUCCACUUAACAGAUAUAACAUCUCUGUAUGAAAAGAACUGACGGUUUUGAAAACAUUCAAUGUACUUGAGGCCAGCCUGAAUUUUGUGCUAGGACAUGUUCUCAGUGAGGACCAGUGUAGUGUGUAUGAUAGAUCCAGGGUUCAAUCCUUGUUAGUGUUACCUUUCAAAAAAAAAGUUCUUAGUGAGGGCCAACUUAGCCUGCUCGGAUGUCCCACACACAUGCCUGGAUGCAGUGAUUGUAUGAAGGCAUAUUUGGAUAAGGGGUGAUUGUGGGGGCAACCAAACCUUGAAGUUGCAAUGGAAAUCAUAUAGGACUUGAGUUGCAUGAGGAUCCUCAAUCCCCUUCAAUGAAACCUAUUAUUAUUAAACAAUUUAUUAUUGUUAUUAUUAUUAUUUUAUUUUCUCUUUUGGAACUUUUUUCAUUUAUAAUUAGUGCUCAGUGUGUAAAUUUACUUUUUCAAAUAAAUGGGAAAUCAGUUAGUUUUACCUAGAAAUGGGCCCAGGGUGGAAGCUGGAACUGCAGCUUUAAAAGAUUUUAAUACUUGGGACAUAAUGUUCGAAAAAAUAAAAAUGGAAAUAUCAAAGAAAAUAGAACUUGAUCAAUGUAGUUCUUAUUUUAUUCAUUAUCAAUUAUCAAAAGAAUCUUGAAAAUGAUAAAUAAUAAAAUGACAAAAUUCCAAUUGAUGGUCAGCUGCAAGAGCUUUGCUAAGCCCACACACAUGCAAUAAAGCACAUGUACAAGCCACACAUGAGGCAGCAUGUCAGUGACAGGUGCAAGAUCCAAUCCAUCUAUCAGAAUGGCACAGCUAUCUUGAUACCCAAGCCCAAGAAUCAUCCACUGGUCAGGUGGGUCACAGAUUGCAAAACAAAUUUACAGCUCUGAAAAACUUGGCUGAAGUUUUUUAAACCACCCAUCUUUUUCUAACAUUGAGGUCCCCUUGCUGAUUGGACCAAAUUUUAUUUUUGGGAAAACAUGUGGAAGGUCGGACCAACCCGAUGGAUGGAUUAGAUCUCACACCUAUGUGCCGUGCUAGCACACAUGUGGGGGUGUACAUGAACUUAUAUUCUCACUUGUGUGCUCUUAGCAAUGCUCCAACUGCAAAAUAAGCAAUUGAAAGUUUUGGCAAAAAUGGCUUGAACUACUAGAAGAGAUUGCAGAAGCUGCCUGUCUUUUCCAUGCAGCUUAUCCAUUGUCUACAGUGUUAGAAUUGCAUGAUAUAAUUGCCGAUUAGAUAACACACAUAUU